CCUACGGGUGGCAGCAGUGAGGAAUAUUGGUCAAUGGGCGGAAGCCUGAACCAGCCAAGUCGCGUGAGGGAGUAAGGCCCUACGGGUCGUAAACCUCUUUUGCCGGGGAGCAGUGCCCAGCUCGUGAGCUGGGAGGGAGCGUACCCGGAGAAAAAGCAUCGGCUAACUCCGUGCCAGCAGCCGCGGUAAUACGGGGGAUGCGAGCGUUAUCCGGUUUUAUUGGGUUUAAAGGGUGCGUGGGCGGGCCUUCAGGCCGGCGGUAAAGUUGCGGGGCUAAACCCCGCCGGGCCGUCGGAACGGGGGGCCUUGAGUACCGGAGAGGUACGCGGAAUGCGUGGUGUAGCGGUGAAAUGCAUAGAUAUCACGAAGAACCCCGAUUGCGAAGGCAGCGUACCGGCCGGUCACUGACGCUGAGGCACGAAAGCGCGGGUAUCGAACAGGAUUAGAUACCCGGGUAGUC
rnacentral:rRNA from 1 species